rnacentral:rRNA from 1 species
UCUGGUUCAGGACGAACGCUGGCGGCGUGCCUAAUACAUGCAAGUCGAACGGCGUUUCUAUGGAAGCUUGCUUCCACUGAGAAGAUAGUGGCGAACGGGUGAGUAACACGUGGGUAACCUGCCCAUAAGAGGGGGAUAACAUCCGGAAACGGGUGCUAAUACCGCAUAGUUUUCUUGAUCGCAUGAUUGAGAAAGGAAAGACGGCCUUUGUGCUGUCGCUUAUGGAUGGACCCGCGGCGUAUUAGUUAGUUGGUGAGGUAACGGCUCACCAAGACGAUGAUACGUAGCCGACCUGAGAGGGUGAUCGGCCACAUUGGGACUGAGACACGGCCCAAACUCCUACGGGAGGCAGCAGUAGGGAAUCUUCCGCAAUGGACGAAAGUCUGACGGAGCAACGCCGCGUGAGUGAAAGAAGGUUUUCGGAUCGUAAAACUCUGUUGUCAGAGAAGAACAAGUUGGAGAGUAACUGCUCCAGCCUUGACGGUAUCUGACCAGAAAGCCACGGCUAACUACGUGCCAGCCGCGGC